UUCCGCUUCCUUCAAGCAUGCGCACCUCCUUGCUCUUUAAUCUGCUGGGGCGGGCCUGAUUACGUCACUUCCGGCGCGCCCACGGGUGCCCGCAGGGGGCUGGUCUCCAAGACAAAGCUUGGAAGUUCCCAGGAUUAAGGAGUAUGGCUAUGCACGCUCAUGCACACUAUGGCUUGAGUUUGGAUGUACAGAACAAAAUUGGCAGGAAUCAGUUCUCUUCGCCUGUGGGGACAGGGAAGCAAAGGUCUCCAGACUUGGCACACGACUACUCAUGCUGACAUGAUCUGUGGCUGCAGCAGUGGCUGGAGCACUGUCUCUUUCAAGAGCUGGUCCUUGUACCGCUAUGCAGAUGGCCGCUUACUCAUCCUGGAAAUAAUUGGAGACAAUUUCAAUGAGACACAAAGUCUACCGCCAGUCCCAGAGGCUCUGCAUGGCUUUAGAAGACAAGUUUCUAUAACAUGGUUUUGUAACAAUGAUUUAUUUCACGCAUGAGUACUCUAUCUGCAUGUACAACUGCAUGCCAGAAGAGGGCAUCGAUCGGAUCCUAGUUGUAAGGCAACCAUGCAGUUGCUGGGAACUGAACUUGGGACCCCUGGAAGAGCAGCCAGUAUAAAGAGUUGAAACAGAGGCAAGCAGCAUGGUAUGAGGUCUCUCUACUUGGAAAGCCAUGGGAACAAGUGCCCUGCCAGCAGAACCACCUCAGUCUGCUCCUCUCUCUCCGCCUGGCCGCCACGGUCUGAGGUGACUAUUGUUAAGGAAGGAGUGCGGGCUCCUUUCUAACCACAGGAGAGUGUGGUCCACACAGAGGCAGGCAGGGUCCAAGAUGUGCGUCACCUACAGCUUACCAUCUACCGUGGGAGUCAUCUCUAACUCUAUGAAAGCAGAGAGUCCACAGUGCCCACAGUGGCUACAAUUUUCUUACCGUACUAUUUUGUGGAGUCACCAAGGUUCAGACAGAGGAGACAUGGAGGGAAU
rnacentral:lncRNA from 1 species